GUGCCAGCAGCCGCGGUAAUACAGAGGGUGCGAGCCAAGUUCGGAAUUACUGGGCGUAAAGCGCGCGCAGGCGGCCCUUUAAGUCCACUGGUGAAAGACCGGGGCUCAACCCCGUGUCAGCCAGGGAUACUGGAGGGCUGGAGACACGUAGAGGCAAGCGGAAUUCCGGGUGUAGCGGUGGAAUGCGUAGAGAUCCGGAAGAACACCGGAGGCGAAGGCGGCUUGCUGGGCGUGAUCUGACGCUGAGGCGCGAAAGCGUGGGGAGCGAACAGGAUUAGAUACCCUGGUAGUCC
rnacentral:rRNA from 1 species